rnacentral:rRNA from 1 species
AUUGAACGCUGGCGGCGUGCUUUACACAUGCAAGUCGAACGGCAGCAUGGUUAGCGCUUGCACUAACUGAUGGCGAGUGGCGGACGGGUGAGUAAUACAUCGAAACAUAUCUAUGAGAGGGGGAUAACCUGACGAAAGUUAGGCUAAUACCGCAUAUACUCUGAGGAGGAAAGCUGGGGACUUGGGAGACUGAGCCUGGCGCUGAUAGGAUGGUCGAUGGUUGAUUAGCUAGUUGGUGGGGUAAAGGCUUACCAAGGCGAUGAUCAAUAGCUGUUCUGAGAGGAAGAUGAGCACACUGGGACUGAGACACGGCCCAGACUCCUACGGGAGGCAGCAGUGGGGAAUUUUGGACAAUGGGGGGAACCCUGAUCCAGCAACGCCGCGUGAAUGAAGAAGGCCUUAGGGUCGUAAAGUUCUUUUAUAGUAGAGCAAGUGUAUAAGGUUAAGAGCUGUAUAUAUUGAGAGUAUACUAUGAAUAAGCACCGGCUAACUACGUGCCAGCCGCCGCCGUAA